rnacentral:tRNA from 1 species
UGGGGGUUAGUUAAGUUAACAGAGGGUUGUCAACCCGAAGAUGCCAUAGGCACCCCUUA